rnacentral:rRNA from 1 species
AAUCAACGCUGGCGGCGUGCCUAACACAUGCAAGUCGAACGCGAGAGGGGCUUCGGCCCCGAUUGAGUGGCGAACGGGUGAGUAACGCGUGGGUGACCUACCUUCGAGUGGGGGAUAACGUCCCGAAAGGGACACUAAUACCGCAUAACAUCCUGCUUUUGAAUGGGUGGGAGAUCAAAGCCGGGGAUCGCAAGACCUGGCGCUUGAUGAGGGGCCCGCGUCUGAUUAGCAGUUGGUGAGGUAACGGCCCACCAAGGCAACGAUCAGUAUCCGGCCUGAGAGGGCGGACGGACACACUGGGACUGAGGACACGGCCCAGACUCCUACGGGAGGCAGCAGUGGGGAAUUGUUCGCAAUGGGCGCAAGCCUGACGACGUAACGCCGCGUGGAGGAUGAAGGUCUUCGGAUUGUAAACUCCCUGUUGCCCGGGACGAAUGGCUCCGACCUAACACGUCGGAGUGUGACGGUACCGGGUGAGGAAGCCCGGCUAACUUCGUGCCAGCCGCCGCGGUAAU